ensembl:snRNA U6 U6 spliceosomal RNA
GUGCCCAAUUUAGCAGCACAUACACUAAAACUGGAAGGAUCCAGAGAAGAUUAGCAUGGCCCCUCUGCAAGGAUGAGACAAAAUUCUUGAAGCAUUUCAUAUUUAA